AGGUCCCCCCCUUUUUUUUUUAGGGCCCCCACCCACCACUCAGGGGUGGGGGUCAGGGGGGGACAUUAGGUCCCCCCCCAAUUUGUAUUUAGGGCCCCCACCCACCGCUAUGGGGUGGGGGCCAGAGGGGAGGACAUU